GACGAACGCUGGCGGCGUGCUUAACACAUGCAAGUCGAACGGAAAGGCCCUGCUUGCAGGGUACUCGAGUGGCGAACGGGUGAGUAACACGUGGGUGAUCUGCCCUGCACUUCGGGAUAAGCCUGGGAAACUGGGUCUAAUACCGGAUAGGAGCCAUUUUUAGUGUGAUGGUUGGAAAGUUUUUUCGGUGUAGGAUGAGCUCGCGGCCUAUCAGCUUGUUGGUGGGGUAAUGGCCUACCAAGGCGGCGACGGGUAGCCGGCCUGAGAGGGUGGACGGCCACAUUGGGACUGAGAUACGGCCCAGACUCCGACGGGAGGCAGCAGUGGGGAAUAUUGCACAAUGGGCGCAAGCCUGAUGCAGCGACGCCGCGUGGGGGAUGACGGCCUUCGGGUUGUAAACUCCUUUCGCUAGGGACGAAGCUUUUUGUGACGGUACCUAGAGAAGAAGCACCGGCUAACUACGUG
rnacentral:rRNA from 1 species